AAAAACCUCACAAUUCCCCAUGCCUAUUCAAAUUCAAAAUACCCCUUCGACUCACAAACAAGAUAAAACUCCUUGAUUGAAACUCCAACUUUCCUUCUUCUCUCUUUCUCAAUGUGACGGAUUUCAAUAUAUCUACCUAAUCCCAUUAUCCAACAGCAACAUUCCCACAGGUGGACAGCAUUCAAAUUCAAAAUCCAUCAAAGACUCAAUCUUCUCUCUGAGUCUCAGAUAGAGGGAGAGAGAGAAGCUUCAAGCUAGGCAAUGGCAAUGAUGAGCGUAUGCAAGAAAUCCUCAAUGCCAAGGCAAUCCUCGUACAACUCCCUCUAUGUCAACCCUCUCAAUGACCAACUCAAACACAACCGUAGCUGCAGCGAAGGAGGUACCAGAACCCCAGACAUCAUAUUCACUACUGACGACAUUGACAACAUUGACAAAGAGAACGAUGAGCCCAACACUAACACUAACAGGAAGCACAAACAAAAUGCAAAUGGUUUUGCUUUCUCUUCUUCUAUUUCUAAUCCUAUCAACAAAUCUUUAUCUACCAACACCAGGGUCUUGGUGAACUUGAAGCCUUCUUCGCUUCAGUUUUGCAUGCAAAUGAAUGAGCCCGACAAGGCCUUUUUCCCCUCUAAGGUUUGGGAACCCCCUGAGUCCGAGAAUUCCAGUUCUUUGAAUAUUUGGGACUAUUCCGAUUCCGAAGCUGCUCCGGCUUCUUCUUGGUCUACACUGCCUAAUAGGUCCUUGUUGUGUAGGCCAUUGCCUCUGGAUAUCGGAAGGUGUACUUGUGUAAUUGUGAAAGAAGAAGCAUCUCCAGAGGGACUUCAUCGGGGUACUCUAUACUCUCUUUAUACCAAUGAAGGUCAGGGACGACAGGAUCGGAAACUAGCUGUUGCUCACCACAAGCGGUACAAUGGAAAGUCUGAGUUUACAAUAGCUCAGAAUACAAAAGGAAUAGUGCCUGAUUCAGAUGAUAAUUUUAUUGGGGUUGUAACAUCUAACCUCAUUGGUUCUAAAUAUCAUAUUUGGAAUCAGGGGAGACGCCUCAAUUCCCAAACUAUGCAAUCUAAAUCACUUCUGGCUGUUGUCAGAUUCAUGCCUACAGUAGCCACCUGUACAGGAAGUUAUAGAAGCAUGAUGGCAUACAUACCGAAGCAACAAUUUAUGCAGUUAAAGAAUGCAAACCAGGUACAACACAUUUAUGGACUGCCAAAGGACUGGGAGGGAAAAGUAGACCAUGUUCAUGAGCUAUUCUCAAGAGUUCCGAAUUACAGCAAAAUUUCAAAGCAAUAUGAGCUAGAUUACAGAGACAGAGGAAGGGCUGGACUUAGAAUCCAAAGUUCUGUAAAAAAUUUCCAACUGACUUUGGAGACAAAAUUUAUCAAUAUCUGUAGACAGUUGGAACUUGCAACAUUGGAAUUGAGGCGCUUUUAAGUGUGUUUGGUUUUACAAAAAGGGGUUCCUAAAUGAGUGUUGCAGAAACAUAUUACUUUGGGAUACUUACUAGUAUAUGGUUUAACAUAGGAGAAUGGAAAACAGUCAAUUUUGCAGCUUGGAAGGGUGGGGAAAUCAAAGUAUGUAAUGGAUUACAGAUAUCCUUUGACAGGUUUCCAAGCAUUUUGCAUAUGUUUGGCUUCUAUUGAUACAAAGCUCUGUUGCAUUGUGUAAUAAAUUUCUCCUGCCCCUUUUUACUUGUACUUCUCUCUAGCCAAAGGACCAAAAAAAAAAAAAAAAAUAGAA